AGAGUUUGAUCCUGGCUCAGGAUGAACGCUAGCUACAGGCUUAACACAUGCAAGUCGAGGGGCAGCAUGUUGGUUGCUUGCAACCAAUGAUGGCGACCGGCGCACGGGUGAGUAACGCGUAUCCAACCUACCCAAUACUCAGGCAUAACCCGUUGAAAGACGGACUAAUUCCUGAUGGUAUGUAUUUUUCUCAUGAAUUAUACAUUAAAGAAUUUCGGUAUUGGAUGGGGAUGCGUCUGAUUAGUUUGUUGGUGAGGUAACGGCUCACCAAGACUUCGAUCAGUAGGGGUUCUGAGAGGAAGGUCCCCCACAUUGGAACUGAGACACGGUCCAAACUCCUACGGGAGGCAGCAGUGAGGAAUAUUGGUCAAUGGAUGGAAAUCUGAACCAGCCAAGUAGCGUGCAGGAUGACGGCCCUAUGGGUUGUAAACUGCUUUUAUGUGAGAAUAAAGUUAGGUAUGUAUACUUAUUUGCAUGUAUCACAUGAAUAAGGACCGGCUAAUUCCGUGCCAGCAGCCGCGGUAAUACGGAAGGUCCAGGCGUUAUCCGGAUUUAUUGGGUUUAAAGGGUGCGUAGGCCGUUUGAUAAGCGUGCUGUGAAAUAUAGUGGCUCAACCUCUAUCGUGCAGCGCGAACUGUUGAACUUGAGUGCGUAGUAGGUAGGCGGAAUUCGUGGUGUAGCGGUGAAAUGCUUAGAUAUCACGAAGAACUCCGAUUGCGAAGGCAGCUUACCGUAACGUUACUGACGCUUAAGCACGAAGGUGCGGGUAUCGAACAGGAUUAGAUACCCUGGUAGUCCGCACAGUAAACGAUGGAUGCUCGCUGUUGGCCUUUAAUGGUCAGUGGCUUAGCGAAAGCGUUAAGCAUCCCACCUGGGGAGUACGCCGGCAACGGUGAAACUCAAAGGAAUUGACGGGGGCCCGCACAAGCGGAGGAACAUGUGGUUUA
rnacentral:rRNA from 1 species